AAAAGCCGGAAUAGCUCAGUUGGUAGAGCAGAGGACUGAAAAUCCCCGUGUCACAUUCAA
rnacentral:tRNA from 1 species